ensembl:lncRNA novel transcript
AGUGGCGCGAUCUCGGCUCACUGCAAGCUCUGCCUCCCGGGUUCACGCCAUUCAGGGGAGUGGCGCCGAGACACCGUGUAGCGCCCAUGCCAAGGAGGAAGCGAGACAGCAGGAGCGGAGGAAAGAACCCCGGGCUGUGUUGAGGAAGCCUCCUACUUUUGCCUGAAGUGAGGUCUCCUAUAGAGAGAAGCGUUGACUGGGGACACUCGCUGCUUGCGUUUUGCUGGUAGCUGGGCUGGAAGGUCCACAAAGGUUCACUUCAUGUGAGUGGCACCUCAGGGCUCUUCCACAGGCCCUUCUCUCCAUGCAGCUCUCUUGGGCUUCCUCACAGCAUGGCGGGGUUUUUCACGGUGGCUGGCUUCCAAGAGGAAGCACUUCAAGCUGGGUGAGAGCAGAUGCCUCAAAUCUCUGCAGCCUCAGCCUCGGAAGUCACACAGCGUCGCUUCUGCUGCAUCCUGUUGAUGAAAGCCAGUCCUGGAGUCAGCCCAGAUCCAAGGGGAGGAGGAAAAGACUCCAGGUCUUGCUGAGAGUAAUGACUAAGAAUCUGCAGCCAUCUCCAAUCCACCACGCCCAUGCAAGAGACGGGAGUGAUAUUUGCAACCAAGAUGGUGAACGGCAGCAGAUUGGUCACUGUUUCCAGUUAUUCACCAUCCCCUCAGUGAGAGGAUUAUCCAUCCUGCCCCAUUGCUACGUGACAUGCAGAGCAUCCAGUGCUGGGUACACUUCCCCUCCCCACCAAAUCAUGUUUGGCCACGUGACUUGCGUUAGCCAGUGAAUCCGGAGCCCAAGUCCUAGCAGGCCAUUCAAAAGAGAAGCUUCAAGAGCCAUCACGUGGGUUGGCCAGCCUGCCUGCACUUUUCCCUUUAAACAGAGCUGCGUUUUCUAGAGAGAGGCCUCACACAAGCCUCCCUGUUCCACAGAAUACAAAUCCAAUUGGUAAGUCUUC